AUCAUUAAGGUUGUAUGAAUAUUAGAAUUAAUGCUCCUGUUUUAUUUCAAAUCCUUAGUACAAUGUGGAAUAAUUAAAAAUUCAAGUAUAUAGUAAGCGAUUUUACAAGAAGCCCACAGUAUUAACUCUGUCCUUUUGCCCUUCCUCCUCUCAUUACUAUUUCUCUUCUUUGUCUGAAUAUAUUUUCAGGGUGGGAUCAAGUUCUGGAUCUAUAAAAUAGAGGUCAUGUUUUUCCCAAAAGAGAACUGUGAAACUAUGACUAACCACAAGCAUCACUUCCAGCUGGUUCAAUGCCACAAUUUUGUCUACUCACUAAUUUCCACUUUUUUUUUUUUUUUUUCAUUUAGCCAGGAAAUUCAGGAAGAUCCUACAUGUAAAUGCAAAAGCACUUCUUAGAAAAUGGCUCAGUAUUACAUAAAAACAAGGCAUGAUCUUUAAAGUAUGUUCUCUAAAGAUGUGGUUAUGGAUUUCUGGCAGUCCUGACAUCCGUGUCACCACAGCUUCCAAUCCGGACAUGUAAUAAGAGUAAGAGGUGACACAUGAUCCCUAGGCGGUUUGUAUGGUACCUUUGUGGAUAUUGAAUAGGUAGUGGGAUAGGGAAGGGUGAUAGGUUGGCAUCAAGUGCUUACAAGAUGGGCAUUUCUAGUCUAAGGUCAGGCUGAAAGUCAUCAGAAACACCAUUUAAUUAUUAAUUUCUGCAAAGUGAAAGAAACUGAUGGGCCAUACUGACAUGAGUCAAAUUAUAGAUAGGGUGACUAAUUUGAGGAGAAUCAACAUAAGUCCAAGAAGGGAAAGGAGUUUAGCAGUGAACAAAAAUCGAAUCGGAUGGCAGAAGUUAUGGUCACAGCACAAGGAAGACUGCCUCAGAUGCCGGGUGGCAGGGAACACACGUGUGUUUAUCUUCUUUCCUUUUGGGAUGUCAACUACACAUCUCCUAUACUCACCCUAUGCCUCCCUUCAAGAUUAGGAUCCUAUCCAAUUUCCAAAUACUUUUGGUGGUUCUGCAGUGCUUUCCAGUAGUUUUAUUUUUUCCUCGAGUUUUUAAGUAUCAUUAUACUUUAAAAUGUAAGUAAGUAAGUGAUAAUAUAUACGUAUACUCCAUGGAAUAUUUUUCUUUUUAAAUACUUAGUAUGAACUAUGAAGAUAAAAACCAUACCCCCAAGUGAUUAGGUGAUGUAAAAGAUUAUACAAAUUGCCCCAGCAUUGUGAUUUCGGAAAUUUCAGGAAGCUUCUUUAAACAUAUAUAUAUAUAUGCACAUAGGAAUAAUAAUAGUAUACACCUCAAAGAGCCAUUAUUAAACAAAACCCAUAGAACUGUGUCUUGCCCAUGAAGUUAAUAUAAAGAAUAUAUUAUGACCAUCAUUGUUACUAUUUUUGAAAAGCAAUACUAAUCUACUUAACUAAGCAUAAAUGUAUACACUUAUAGGAAAUUUCUUUAAAAACAUUAUAAAAUCCCUUAAUGUUAUUGGAAUCCAUCAUUUUACAUCUCAGUUUGAAUGAAUUCAUCAAAUUCCUUUCUAAAAGCAAGUUCUUCUGGAAUAGAUCAGACAGAGGAUUAGGUAAGUUUGUUUUUUUUUUUUUUUUUAAGAUUUUAUUUAUUUAUUCAUGAGAGAGACACACACACACACAGAGGGAGAAGCAGGCUCCAUGCAGGGAGCCCGACGUGGAACUCGAUCCCGGGACUCUAGGAUCACACCCUGGGCUGAAAGCAGGUGCUAAACCGCUGAGCCACCCAAGUAUCCCUAGGUAAGUGUUUGGUGUGUGUCAGAAAGGCAAAGUUAAAAGGCAGGGGAGAAAAACUGGUUUAUUUUUCUUUUACUAAUGUCUAUGCUCAUUAGUGUUGUCAUAUGACAGUAUGACAGUAUUAGGACAGUAUUCUUAAUGUAACAAUCUCUCUGCCUUAUACAAAUACACACCUACAUGCACACACUCAAUGACUAAAAUGCACCACAGGUAAUGGCUAGCAUAAGUGGCAAAGUUUGAUCAGAAUGAUGAGUUGGAGGAAGGUCAUCAAACUUCAUGAUAGAUUGCAAGCCAAGGACAAAGGAAAAAGAAUGUGCUUUGCACAAAACUUUAUCUUAUUCAAGUAAUCUGCCAGAAACAGUCAGAGUAGACAGAGCCAUUAAUUUCUUAGUUUAAUAGUUUGAGGUGAAUUGCUUUAAGGGAUGUUCUGUUCAGAAUAGAAGCUAUUGUAUGCCUUCGUAGGCAACAUAAUUAAAGGUAGAGUGAUUACCUCAAUAGUAAUAACUGAAUCUUGGACAUAACAAUGAAUAAAUGAUUUUCUGGAUUGCUAUCA
rnacentral:lncRNA from 12 species